GCCAUAUCAAGUUGAAACAUAGGUUCCGAUAUGAUCACCAAAGCUAAGCAAUGUUGUGCCUAGUCAGUAACUAGAUGGGUGACCACUUUGGAAUACCAGGUGCU